GUCUUCUUCUAUGUCUCCCUCUCCCUCUCUCAAUCUCCCUCAAUCCCCCUCUCCCAAUCUCCCUCGAUCUCCCGAUCUCAACCCUCUCUCUUGAUCUCCCUCUCCCGAUCUCAACCCUCUAUCCCGAUCUUAACCCUCUCUCUCGAUCUCCCUCUCCCUAUCCCGAUCUCAACCCUCUCUCUCGAUCUCCCUCUCACUCUCCCUCCCUCUCCUGAUCUAUGGUGAGUGUUUGAUUUGUACUGCAGAGGCCGAACGACGUAAGAAGGAAGAUGCAGAGCGGAAAGCCAAGCUGGAUGAGAUCGCUGAGAGGCAAAGGCAGAGGGAGAAGGAAUUAGAAGAGAAGGAGAGGUUUGAGGAGAGAAGCUCUUCUAGGAAGGACAUCGGAGCCGUUCACACGGUCUGUGAUUUUAGGCAAAGAUCUGGCAACUGAAAAAACUACGAGCCGGAUGAUUAAUCUCCUGAGGCAGCUUCAGCAGACAUUGCCACCUUCGGCCCUUGCAUCGACCUGGUCUUCCUUGCAGCCCCAGCAGCAGCUUGCAUUGCAAUCCAUCCUGUCAUCCUAAGGAUCUCGUCUCGAAACUGUCUGCUGAAGCUGUAGCAGAGAUCAUCUUCUGAAAAAUGAAUUUAGUACACUCUGAUCCAGUAUACGUUGAGUAAGUGCUCUAUCAUGAGAUACUGCUGUAUGUUUCAUAUACGCAACUAAAUAGCAUUUUCAGAAUACCAGGUAUAUGCAGAUGUGCAACAGAGACUGAUUUAUAUAAUUGAUAGUUCUUCAAAAUUUUGUACUUCAUAUAAUCUUUUAUCUGUCUAUAAUUUUCUCCAAUUAUUGGAAAGGACACAUAUUCCUAUCCAAGUAUACCUUUUACUCACAGUACCAUUUAAAAUCAAAGACAAUUUUGGUGAACUGAUCCAUUGUGCAUAAUGACAAAUUUGAAUUUUGGUGAACCAAUUCAUCAUGCAUAGAUGACCAACUUCAUAAUCUGAUUAGAAAAGACAGUUUGGUCCCAUCUGAUCAUUAAAACAUUUUUGAGGAUUGACUCCAAUGCUUCUUUUUUAUAUGUUGCUAAAUUAACAUUGUAGUUUGUUAUAAAUUAGAAGAGAGAAAAUAUGAUAAACAUGGACCCAAAGGGCCAAUUCUUACAUAAGAUGGAUAGAUGAGCAUGCAUUUGACGUACAUAACUGUUUCAGUCCCUACUUCACAUUCCACUGAUCGAACCAACUGCUGCACAAUCCUAUACAGUAUGAAAUCCAUCUUGUUCUGUGCCUAAAAAGAAUCAAAGUGGCACCAGCUGAUUGAUAAAAGUAGCCUUUGAAAUAGAUUACAAAUUGUGUAUAAAUGCAAAGCACAAGACUGCAUGGAAGUAUAUUCUCAUAUUGAAGCUGAACAUUCAUCUAAAAAUCCAUAUCCCUAUUCAUCUCAUAUUGAAUCUUG